AUUGAACGCUGGCGGCAUGCUUUACACAUGCAAGUCGAACGGCAGCGCGGGCUUCGGCCUGGCGGCGAGUGGCGAACGGGUGAGUAAUGCAUCGGAACGUGCCCAGUAGUGGGGGAUAGCCCGGCGAGAGCCGGAUUAAUACCGCAUACGACCUGAGGGUGAAAGCGGGGGACCGAAAGGCCUCGCGCUAUUGGAGCGGCCGAUGUCGGAUUAGCUAGUUGGUGGGGUAAAGGCUUACCAAGGCGACGAUCCGUAGCUGGUCUGAGAGGACGACCAGCCACACUGGGACUGAGACACGGCCCAGACUCCUAAGGGAGGCAGCAGUGGGGAAUUUUGGACAAUGGGGGCAACCCUGAUCCAGCCAUGCCGCGUGCGGGAAGAAGGCCUUCGGGUUGUAAACCGCUUUUGUUCGGGAAGAAAUCCUCUGGGCUAAUACCCCGGGGGGAUGACGGUACCGGAAGAAUAAGCACCGGCUAACUACGUG
rnacentral:rRNA from 1 species